CACGUGGGGUAACCCACCCCCGACUGACCGGGGACAACCCGAGGAAACUCGGGCUAAUACCGGAUGUGCCGGCUGAUCACCAGAUCAGUCAGUAAAGAUAGCUUCGGCCUUCGCAUCGGGACGGGCCCGCGGCCCAUUAGCUUGUUGGUGGGGUAACGGGCCUACCAAGGCAACGAUGGGUAGCUGGUCUGAGAGGACGAUCAGCCACACUGGGACUGAGACACGGCCCAG
rnacentral:rRNA from 1 species